rnacentral:rRNA from 1 species
AUUGAACGCUGGCGGCAUGCCUUACACACGCAAGUCGAACGGCAGCACGGGAGCAAUCCUGGUGGCGAGUGGCGAACGGGUGAGUAAUAUAUCGGAACGUGCCCAGUAGUGGGGGAUAACUGCUCGAAAGAGCAGCUAAUACCGCAUAAGACCUGAGGGUGAAAGGGGGGGAUCGCAAGACCUCUCGCUAUUGGAGCGGCCGAUAUCAGAUUAGCUAGUUGGUGGGGUAAAGGCCUACCAAGGCAACGAUCUGUAGUUGGUCUGAGAGGACGACCAGCCACACUGGGACUGAGACACGGCCCAGACUCCUACGGGAGGCAGCAGUGGGGAAUUUUGGACAAUGGGCGCAAGCCUGAUCCAGCAAUGCCGCGUGCAGGAAGAAGGCCUUCGGGUUGUAAACUGCUUUUGUCAGGGAAGAAAUCCUCUAGGUUAAUACCCUUGGGGGGAUGACGGUACCUGAAGAAUAAGCACCGGCUAACCACGUGCCAGCAGCCGCCGUAAUAC